rnacentral:lncRNA from 1 species
CUUAAUGGACAGGUUGGGGAUCCCAAAAAAUCCCCCAAAGUAUGCUCUCUAAAUUUCAGAUCUAAUAUCUGAAACUAAAACUCCAAAACCCCAAAAACAGUAGAAAAUCUCCAAAAACCAAAAAAUAACAAAGCAUCAGAAAAUACCAAAAUACAUGGUUACAUCGAGUGUUGUGAGUUCUGAUAAUUAUUCUUCACGAAUUUUUUACUUUCGAGUUGAAUAUGUGGGUUGCUGAAGUUAAGAAGUUCACUUCAAGUGAUUUUGAGUCAAACUAAGUUGGGUUUUGGUUGAGGUUUGCAGCGUUGAGGUCUCAAAUGUUUGCAGUCCAAUUUCGAUGUCUGUUUGAGUGGUAAUCAAGUAGUUUAUUGGUGAUCUCUUAGUUCCUAUUGGUUCAAACUCUCCCUAGGUUGAUUGAAUUAGUUGUUGGUGAUUUUUACCUGUUGUUGCUGCUUGUGAUAUCACUUGUUGCUGACUCCUUUUGUUAUUCUGUCCAUUCAAACCCAGGUACAUUUUCAAACUCUCACUGUUGUAAUGCCAAAGUUGGAGUAAAAUCAAGGCUCAUUUCAGAUUAAAACUCAAUGGAACCUUCAUAGUUGUAGUCAAUUGAUGUGGUUUUAGUUUUUUGUUUGAGUUUUGAAUUGUUUAAUUAGUAUUGUUGCCAACUAAUGCGGACAUGAUAAUUUGUAAUAUGAAAUGUUGAAUUUCAUUUGAAAUGGUGAUUUUCUGUUUAGUGUAGUUUAGUGGAUUGUUAGUGAGUUAGUGUUUUCAAUUGUUAAUGACACCACGAGACUAUCUAUUUUAUCAUUUGCUAAAUUGAGUUAAUUUGAAACUUCUGUUUUUGUAAGUAAUAAAUGAUUAGCUUAUUUUAUUGUUUCAAGGGGCCAUAAUUAAGAACUGUGUUGGGCUGUAAUAAUUGGGAUUGCAUGACCAGGAUCAUUUGAGGAAUAAGUAGGAUUGUUGAAGUACUUGUUGGGAUUCGAUCCCAGACAUAGAUAUGACAAUUGCUUGUGUCGCCCUCUACUUCCAUGGGGCCGCCCGUUUUCAUUUGGGCCGGGGUGCAUUAAUAUGAAGCCCAGGUUUGUUUUGGCCAGCCUGGAUAUAGCUUGAAGAAACUAGUUAAAUAGGAUGAUGACUCAAGGGCUCGAUCCAUGGACCUCGCUGAUGCCUCUCGAUGGGUUCAAAUUUUGGGCCAGCUUAGGCCCAAUGUCUAUAGCUCCGAGAGCUUGAUUUCAUAGCGUUUGCUUUAUGUGAUUUAGGCCUUCUGGGCUCAAGACAAAAAGCAUAGAAAAAUUAUAAUUACUAUAGGAUGGACUUUUAAAUAAGAAUUGCAAUGGGCCUCGCCAAAUAAGAAAUAUAUAAUUGUGAGGCCCUCAAUAAAUUUUGUAUUAAGUACUUAGAAUUCGGGAGGGUCGUUUAGCGAAUUUCACGGUCUUCCCCAAAGUAAUAUUUCAUUAGAAUCUUAAGGCGCAAUUUAAUUAAAUUACUUUCUUAAAUUCGGGUGGGCAUUGAUGCGACCCAAAUCCAAAUCUCGUUGAAGUCAAAAUGUGCUGACAACCACGGGUGCAUUGAUUGCGACGUGGUUUGAAACACAUUUUUACGACGUCGCAAUUCUUUUAAAAUAAUAAUGAUAGAAAAAUGGUUUGAGAAUAAAAGGCACAUAAGCUAGCAUGUAUUAAAAUCUGAUAAAAUCAAAUACAACAGUUAAGCGACCGUUCUAGAACCACGGAUCCCGGGAAUGCAUAACACCUUCUCCCGGGUUAACAAAACUUCUUACUCGGAUUUCUGGUACGCGGACUGUUAACAAAGUCAUAAUUUUCCUCGGUUCGGGAUUCAACCGCUGACUUGGGACACCAUUAAUCUCCCAAGUGGUGACUUUGAACUUUAAUAAUUAAAUCUCGUCCCGAUUGUCCUUUAAUUGGAAAAAUUUCUUUACGCCCAUGCGGGUGUAGUGAAAAAUGAGGUGUGACACCUUGUUCAACCAUUGGUAAUCAAUACACAUCCUCAUUGAUCCGUCCUUCUUCUUAACAAACAACACCAGUGCACCCCAUGGCGAAACAUUAUUCUAAUGAAACCCUUCUCAAGCAAGUCUUGCAACUGCUCCUUCAACUCUUUUAACUCGGGAAGGGCCAUACAAUAUGGAGGGAUAGAAAUGGGCUGGCUGCCCAGAUCCAAAUCAAUGCAAAAGACAAUUUCCAUGUCGGGCGGAAUACCCGACAGGUCUGAAGGGAAUACCUCCAAAAAUUCACGAACAACAAGCACAUAAUCAAUAGAAGGAACCUCAACACUAGAAUCACGAACAUAGGCCAAACACCCCUUCUCGACCAUACUUCAAGCCUUCACAUAUGAGAUAACAAUGUGGGUAGAAUGAUCGGGUGUCCCUCUCCAGUAUAAAUGAUGUAAACCUGGCAAGGAUAAGGUUACAGUCAUGGCAUGACAGUCUAAGAUAUCGUGGUAUGAUGAUAACCAGUCCAUCCCCAAUAUGACAUUGAAAUCAACCAUGUCUAGAAGAAGCAAAUCUACACGAGUCUCAAGACCCCUAAUCACAACUAUACAUGAAUGAUAGACUCAAUCUACCAUAAUAGAAUCACCCACCGGUAUGGAUACGCUGCAAAAUAAGAUGACACAAAUGAGUGCAUAGACCCUGGAUCAAAUAACACUGGAACAUCUCUAUAACAAACCAGAAUUGUACAUGUGAUAAUUACAUUGGAAGCCUUAGCCUCGAGCAUGGCUGCAAAAGCAUAACAUCGAGUUUGGGCCCUACCACCUUGAACUACAUCUCUGGGAAGGCCUGCUGCUGGUUGCCUCCACCUCUAGUGGCCUGAGCUCCACCUCUAAUACCUCUAGCUCCACCUUUAGCACCUCUACCCCUACCUCUAGCGGGCUGGGCGGGCUGUGGAAUACUUGGUGCCUGAACCAUGGUAUAUGAACGCUGAUGCUUAGAGUUAUUCGGUGCUCGAAGGCAAAACAUAGAAAUGUGACCCACAUCACCACAAGUGUAACAAGAUCUGAACAGCUGAGACCGCUAACCUUGACGACCUGAAUGGUCACCCCGAAAACUCUGACCGGUUGUGCACUGAUAGGAGCUGGCUGUGCACUAUAGGACUACUGAUCAGAAUACUGCAUCUAAGGACCACGGACACCUGAGGCACUAUGAGAAACCUGAAGUGCUGACUAAAAAGGCCAAGGGAGGAUGGGCUCAACCAUACAACUCCCUACCUCCGAAUGAGGAGCCAUCGAAUCUGCCUGAAUGACGAGGCCUCUUGUCAGACCCCUGACCACCUCCUUAUCACAAAAACAUCUCCACUCUCCUGGCUACAUUGGCCGCAUUCUAGAAGGAAAUCUCACUCCUUAUCUCCCUAGCCAUCUGAAGACGAAUCGGCUGAAUAAGUCCAUCAAUGAACCUCAUCACCCUAUCUCUCUCGGUGGGAAGUAUGAUAAGAGCAUAAUGAGCCAAGUAGAUGAAUUUGGUCUCAUACUGGGUAACAGUCAUAGAACCCUUCUGGAGACGCUCAAACUGCCAUUGAUAGGCCUCUCUUUGAGUGAUAGGGAGAAACUUCUCAUAAAAAGCUACGUAAAAUGCUCCCAAGUCAAAGCUGGCGAUUCAGCUGGUCUACCCAAACAAUAAUCCCUCCACCAAGUCUUGGCGGAUCCAAACAUGCAAAAAGUAGCAAAAUCAACCCUAUUGGUCUCUAAUAUCCCCAUGUUCCUGAAAACCUCGUGAUCGCUGUCUAGAUAGUCCUGGGGAUCCUUAGAAGAUUCUCUGUUGAAAGUAGUAGUGAAGAGCUUGGAAAACAUGUCCAAUCUCCAUAAAGCAUCGACGAACAUAGCUGCUCCAUCGUCAGUCUGAGCUACCACACCCGGCUAAACUACUCCAACUCGCUGAACUGCUAGAGUCUUAAACUGAGGAGCUACCUGCUCCGCAUUGUGAGUAGCAUGUGCUACAGGAAAUAAGCCUACCCAGGUAACACUCUCCAUAAAGCCCACUAGACGGACCAGAGCAUCCCUGAGUACUAGGGUAGCAGUAAACCCCUUUGGGACCUAAUCCGGGCCCACCGGAACUACUAGGGCCGGAACCUCAUCAUCAAAGUCAACCUUACGCUCUGUUGUUGGUGCUGCUACUCUGGGCAGAGCUUUGCCUCUACCUCAGCCUCUAGCACAGCCUUAGCCUCGCUCUCUGCCCCCUCAUGGGAGCUGUUGCUGGGGGCUCGGGCUGCUAGAUAGUGGAUGAGGAAGCACGUGAUAUUGCCAUCUGCGAAAGAACAGAGUAGAAAUUCAAUUAGCAUUGAGAAUCCAAACCAAACAACAUGAAAGAAUGAAUGUGAAGUUUUUCCUAAUGUUGUAGCCUCUAGGAUAAAUACAGACAUCUCUGUACCGAUCCCUCAUACUCUACUAUGCUUGUUUGUGGAUUGUGAGACCCAUGUAACCGAGAGCUCUAAUACCAACUUAUCACGAUCCGUAUUUUUCACCCUCGGGGGUCGUGAUAGAACCUACUAAUGUGAUCUAGGCAAGCCAAUCCUUUGAACUAAUUACUUUAUUAUCCAUUUAUUAUAUUUUAACAAUUAUAAAGUAAUAACGUGUAAACGGCAAAAAUUCGAAGUAAGCGGACGAAAAGCAAUAAAAAUAUAAAUAUAUGCCUAGUACAACAGUUUGAACCUCAACCUCCCGGAAUUGGUGUCACAGUAUCACAGACGAUCUAAGAUUUUAUUACAUACAAAGUUUGAAAUAAAAGAUACAGUGUUUCUAAAUUUAAGGAAAUGAAAUAGGGGUAAAAGGGAUCGAGGGAGAUGCUAGGGCUUGUAGAGGCAUGCAUGUCUAACUGGAUCUCCGUGAACUGAAGGUAGCCAUCCAAUUUACGGUCCAAAAGAUGCUCUGGAUCGGUACAUAGUGCAGAGUGUAGUAUCAGCACAACCGACAAUAUGUGUUGGUAAGUUCCUAGCCUAACCUUGGUGAUAUACUAACGAGGCUAGGACCAAACUACCAAACAACCUGUGCAAUUAAACUUUAUAUAGCGAAAAAGAAGAACAAUAAUAAACAGCCAAUAUGGGAGGGGUAUAAUGAUGCGGGGGGGGGGGGGGGNNNNNNNNNNNNNNNNNNNNNNNNNNNNNNNNNNNNNNNNNNNNNNNNNNNNNNNNNNNNNNNNNNNNNNNNNNNNNNNNNNNNNNNNNNNNNNNNNNNNNNNNNNNNNNNNNNNNNNNNNNNNNNNNNNNNNNNNNNNNNNNGGGGGGGGGAACUAAAUUCAAAACAGAAGACAAUAGGUAAUUGAAAGAAACAACCUAUCUCAGAUAUCAACAAAGAACCAGAAAUCAAUAAAUGCACAGCAUCACCGUUCGUGCUUUUGCUCUCAUCCUCACCAAAGCAAUCAAGUAAUGAAAAUGUGCAUGGCAUCUUCGUGCUUUUACUCUCUUUCCUCACCAUAUUAUCAAUGUAAUUGGCACGAAAUGGUAUAUCGUGCGGCACAGCACCACCCUUCGUGCUUUACACUCUUUCCUCACAAUUGUACACAGCAUCACCUUUCAUGCUUUAAUACUCUCUCACCAAAACAAUGCACGACAUCACCCUUCGUGCUUUAACUCUCUCCCUCACCCAAACAACAACCACAAACAAUAGGGCAAGAAAAUAAAUGAAGUUACAACAAAAAUCCCGCAAGAAUAAUUCAACAACAAGUCCCGGCAAGGGACAACAUCAAACAAUAUCCAAACAAGGGAGCCAAAAUAGUGAUUCUUUCUCUUUUUCACCUUUUACUUCACAACUCACUUUACAACCUGAGUCAAUGCUCCAAGGGUUCAAUUACCACUGAUACUUUCACAAUCCGUUAUGCAACUUGAGCCAACGCUCCUCAAUGUUUAUAGGUCAUAAUUCCUUCCACAAACUUUGAAUAACAAAUAGAAAUCUUCACCAAGGCAUGAAUGAUACAACGAAGUCAUGAAAAUCAAAAUAUAAAACUCACGUGCAUGCUUGACACUAUUGUAUAGAUAUCCAUCACCAUGCCAAUACGUCGUACUCAACAAUUACCGCAUAGCAAAUAGGACUCGACUCUUAAUCCCUCAAGCUAAGGUUAGACCAAAUACUUAACUCGAUGCCAUGAACAAAAUUCACAUCUCAAUUAUUGCUUUACCCCUUGAUUCCACUAUCGAUUCGCUUGUAUCUAGUCACAAGUUACUUAAUAUAUCAAUAAACGCUAAAUGAAUCAAUACUAAUACAUGAAAAUGAUUUUCCCUAAGUUUUGCCCAAAAAGUAAAAAAAUUGCCCUCAGGCCCACAUGGUCAAAACCUGAGGUUCGAACCAAAACUUGAUUACCCAUUUUCCCACGAACCCAAAUAUAUAAUUUAUUUUGAAAUUGGACCUCAAAUCAAGGUCCAAAUCCCUAAUUUUUGAAAAACCUAGGCUCUACCCAAAACGCCGAAUUUUCCCCAUAAAAAGCAUUGAUUUUGAAUUGAAAUCAUGUUAAAUGAUGUUAAUAAUUGAAGAAAACGAGUUAAAAUUAACUUAUAAUCCAUUUAGAAGAAGAGUUAUUUUUGAAAAAUCGCCCUAGGGAGUUUUGGUUUUGAAAGAGUAUGAAAAAUGGUUGAUUUUUGGCUAAGUAUAAAAAUUGUAGGUGCAGGUGUGGGAAAUGCAAACAGGGGUUUGCAAUUCUGUGGUAUAUUGGGAAAUGUGAAGGAGGUUCUCACAUUUGCGAGCUGGGAAUAUCGAUCCAUAUGUCACAUUUGCGAUUACUAGCUAGAAGGGGAGUUAUCGCAAUUGCGAUAGAUUUCCUCGCAAUUUCGAUCUGGCCUAGGCCUUUGAUUGCAUUUGCGAUGAGGCCUUCGCAUUUUCAAGUCAGGAUUCGCAAAAGCAAAGCUUGCAGGCUGCAAUACACAACUGAAAGUCUACAAUCCACAAGUCCAAAAAUUUACCCCGUGGCCUAUCCAAAACUCACCCGAGCCCUCGGAACUCCAAACCAAACAUGUACACGAGCCUAAAAAUAUCAUACAGACUCGUUCAUGCAUUAAAAUCGUUAAAAUAACAUCAACAAUUAUAAAUUUAGCAACAAAUCAUGAAAUUUUCUUAAGAACUUAUUCACGUCGUUUCAAGUCCGUUUCGUAACAAAUUUUACAGACUUAUCUUAAAUCACAUAUAAGACUUGUACCGGGUGAUGGAACCAAAAUACAGGCCCGAUACCAUUAAUUUCUAAUCACUAUUCAUUUCAAAAUCUCAUAAAUAAUUUCAAAAAAUAAUUUUCUUGAAAAAUUCAUUUCUCGGGCUUGAGACCUCAGAAUUUGAUUUCAGGCAUACGCACAAGGCCCAUAUUUUCCAAAUCUCAUAAGUAAUUUCAAAAAAUAAUAUUCUGAGCCUGAAUACACAUCUGAAUAUUAAAAUGUGUAUUAAAAUAUGAAUACUAGAUGAUUAAGACUAUUUAAUUUUUAACAUUAGAAUAUAUAAAAUUUAUAUUCUGAUGACAAUUAAUAAAUAUAAAAGUCAUGCGAAAUAUUAAUUAAUCUAAUAUUCUAUCAAUAAAAUAUAUAAUUUUUUAAAUUAUAAUAGUUGCUGGUAGUGAUGGUUAACGGUUGUGCUUGUGAAUGCCGGCUAGAGGCGGUGAUUGGUGGUAGUUUUGGUUGAUGGUGAUGGUUCAAAGAAGUAGCUAGUGGUAAUUGGUGGUGGUGGCGAUUAUGAUUGAGGAUGGUGGUGGUGAGUGGUGAUAGUUAAUAAUAUUGGUUGGUGGUAGUUGUGAUUGAGGAAGGUGGUAGUGGGUGGUGGUAGUUUAUAAUUGUGGGCAGUGCUGGCUAUGGAUGUUUAUGGUGAUGGGGUGGUUAGUUGUGAUAGUUGAGGUGAAAGAGUGUUGGAUGUGGUGAAAAUAAUGGUGGUGGGAGUGAUAGGGAUGGUGGGUGGUAGUCGAUAAUGAUGGCGGCUAUGAUUGAGGACGAUGGUGGUGGUGGUGAUUGAGUAUGGUGAUGGUGGGUGGUAUAGUGGUAGUCAAUAAUGGUAGGCGAUGACAGCCGUUAAUUACGAACAUGAAUGAUAGCAUCUUAAUGAAAUUAAGUAUUUGUUAUAGGUCUUAAUCAUACAGACCCAUUAAAUGGUUGUGAAGUAAAAAACAAACACACUUAAUAAAUAAGAUCUGUAUAAUUUAGAUUCAUACUUUAAAAACUAACACACUUAAUGUCUAAGAUCUGAAUCACUAAGAUUUAGACUUCCAUUAAGUGCAAACAAAUGAGGCAAAAAGACUGGUUAUUCACCUAUUUUUCUAUCGGAAGGAGCCAUUUAUUUAAGGCAUAAAUGGGCCAAAAAAUAGUAGUGGCAAAGAGAUGAACAAAUGAUUUUUGUGUAUAGGUCAAAAUUAGGUCUACAUUAGCGAAUGCAGACAGACGAGCUGAGGUCGGGGUCAAAACCAAACACGGUCCAGUGGUGAGGAGUCGCUCAAAGAGAGAGACCAGUGCCGAGGUCGAGAAGAGAGCAAACGACUAUAACUGUUAGAAUACUCCUAAGAUUGUGAAUAGGAAUAAUCUAUUGAAUAUUUUCCCACACAGUACCUUUUUAGGAUUUUCUAGGGAUAUCCCUUAUAAAUAGGAGAGGAAAGGAAACAAAAGGAGAUUCAGGACCUUUAGAAAAGAACAUCUUGUAUAUAAUUGACUAUUAAGAAUAUACAAAAAGCUUAUCAUGUCAGGUAUGUGCAGAUCAGGAAAAUUUCACAUUCAGUCCCUGUAUCACUCUAUGCUUCCAGCCUUCCCUAGGGUGGAAUGGAAGAACAUUAUGGUGACUAAAAAUGCUUGCCAAGGCAUAUGUUCACUACAUGGUUAGCUGCUCAGGGUCG